UACAGAGGUCCCAAGCGUUGUUCGGAUUUACUGGGCGUAAAGGGUGCGUAGGUGGUUGGGUAAGUCUGAUGUGAAAUCUCCGGGCUCAACCCGGAAAUGGCAUUGGAUACUAUUUGACUAGAGGGUUGGAGGGGGGACUGGAAUACUUGGUGUAGCAGUGAAAUGCGUAGAUAUCAAGUGGAACACCAGUGGCGAAGGCGAGUCCCUGGACAACUCCUGACACUGAGGCACGAAAGCGUGGGGAGCGAUCCGG
rnacentral:rRNA from 1 species